GCGCAAUAAUAGAAACUAACCAGGAUUCCCUUAGUAACGGCGAGUGAAGUGGGAAGCAKUGCAUACGUCGGCGUAAUCUAUUACGUGUUCGUAGCUCAGCCCGUCGAUAUAAUCCAUUCUUAGCUGUCGUACUUCGGUACUUCUGCUGGAAGGAAUUGUAGCAUCGAAAGCAUUCAAGUUGUAUUCAUCACACACACGCAUAGCAAUACACACACACACACACAUACACACCCAUGCUGCUGCAACGUGUCAAUACACAUAGUGUUAUCAUAUAUACGAUUCAAACACACAGCGUUUAGCGCUGGAAAGCAAUCCUUGUAGUUUCACUACAGCCAUAGAGUGUGACAGCCACGUUUUAUGGAAAUAUUGAUACACUCGUAACACACACACACACGCAUGCAGUCUCUCUAUGUAUAUGCACAUGCAGAGUGAUACAUAACGCAUUACGCGUCUGAAUACGUAAUUCGUGAAUGUUGACCCUGAGUCGAGUUGUUU
rnacentral:rRNA from 1 species